rfam:Ictidomys tridecemlineatus contig071469, whole genome shotgun sequence.
UGGGUUGUGGCUCUGUGGUAAAGCACUUACCUGGCAUGUGUGAGGCACUGGGUUUGAUUCUCAGCAUCACAC